AGGUCACUCUGACAACUUUGUUAUAACAGAAUUACAUCGAUUCAGUCACAUGACACAAAAUAAAAGAGAUACAAAUACAUAUAGGAAAGCAGUAACAACUUUUAUUUCAUACUAGAAUAGCACACAAGGGUACUCCCCAACGAUAAAGGCACAUUCAGGGUGGAACUGCAAGCAGAUCAGCAGUGUGGGGUCUUGACUCCACAUGCUCCAGCCAUGUUCCUACUGUUAGCCGAGUUGACAUACCCGCUCAGGUUUGGAUCCUUGAUGUAACCGCAGAAACAGGGCUGCUGCUCCUUCAGCUUGCUGCAGCAGUCACCUGUUGGUGCAAUCCCGUACAGCAUCGCGCCCGAACAGGGACUCAGUUCCAUGGGGUUGCAUGUGGCUCCCAGCACCGGAUUGUCAAUCAGAAGGCUAGAGCUAACAACCAUCAACAAGAUCACCAAGGAAGUCUUCA
rnacentral:misc_RNA from 1 species